GGGCGAGUGGCGGAAUGGCAGACGCUCUGGACUUAAAAUCCAGUGGUCCACUCUGGACCAUGGGGGUUCGAAUCCCCCUUCGCCCACCA
rnacentral:tRNA from 1 species